GUUGAAGCAAUGAAGCGUGGACAGUGAUGGUGAGUACUGCUGCGGAUGAUGGAUUAUGAAAGGUGAUGAUGAUUGUGGUUGGGUGGGCCAAAUCAAAUUCCUUAUGCCUGAUGGAUGAAACGGGUUCCAGCGGGGUGAUUCUGUUGUGUUGAUAGUGUUGUUGGGUGUCCGGAUAGCAUGAUGAACGUGAGUGAAGAGUUUUGUAUAUCUGGCUAGUCGUGCUCAAUGGUGUUGUUUAUGGGUAUGGUGAUGAAUAAAGAAAGGAGGUGCUACCCAGAGAUUAUGGAGGCCUCCCCUGAAGAUUGUGGUUGGUUGGGAUAAUGAGGUUUGGUGAGAAUGAAGAUAGAUGAAAAAUGAUGGAAUCUGUUGGAGGUGAGUCCUGGGAGUGGACGGGAGUGUCGUUUUUUAGGAUUGUUACUGGUUUUUUUUGCAGAAAGGCCAUGUGUGUGUAUGAUUCUGUUGGGGUUGUUAGCUGUGAUGGUAAUUCUGUUGCUGGUCUAGAAUCUCCUUUUUCAAAAAAAAAAAAUGUAUUGGUAUGAUGAUGAUGGAAACGUAUAGAGGUGGGGGUGUGUGUGUUAGGAGAAUGAUAAAAUGGUGAGGAAGCAAGGGUGGUUAAUUGGGAUCAUGAGGUCGUGUGCGUGUUGCCUCUGUUGAUAGGGGAACCAUUUCUUUUUUCUCAAAGAACAAUGAUCACAUUUCUUUUUCUUUUUUCAUUUUCAUUUUUUUUUCAUUUCUUUUCUUUUUUCUUUUUCCCUUUUUUUCUUCUUCUUUUCGUAAUCAUUUUUCUUCUCUUUUUU
rnacentral:lncRNA from 1 species